GGAUUGUGGCACAGAGGUAGAGCGCUUGCCUAGCAUGUGUGAGGCACUGGGUUUGAUUCUCAGCACCA
rnacentral:tRNA from 1 species